GACGAACGCUGGCGGCGUGCUUAACACAUGCAAGUCGAACGAAGUGGCGAACGGGUGAGUAACGCGUAAUCAACCUGCCCUUCAGAGGGGGACAACAGUUGGAAACGACUGCUAAUACCGCAUACUGAAGGAGGGGAUUGCGUCUGCUUAGCCAGGUGGAGGGGUAAAGGCCCACCAAGGCGAUGAUCAGUAGCCGGUCUGCGGGGCUGAACGGCCCAAUUGGGACUGAGCAACGGCCCAGAAUCCUACGGGAGGCAGCAGUGGGGACUCUUCCGGAAUGGGCGAAAGUCUGACGUAGCAAUGCCGCGUGAGAGAUGACUGCCUUCGGGUUGUAAAGCUCUGUUAAUCGGGACGCGGUACCGGAAGAGAAAGCCACGGCUAACUACGUGCCAGCAGCCGCGGUAAUUC
rnacentral:rRNA from 1 species